rnacentral:tRNA from 1 species
GGCUGUGUAGCUCAGUGGUAGAGCAGCGGAAUCAUAAUCCGUGUGUCGCAGGUUCGAACCCUGCCACAGCCA